rnacentral:rRNA from 1 species
UACGUAGGUGACAAGCGUUGUCCGGAUUUACUGGGCGUAAAGAGCGCGCAGGCGGUCGAUCAAGUCGAGUGUGAAAGCCCCCGGCUCAACUGGGGAGGGUCAUUCGAUACUGAUCGACUCGAAGGCAGGAGAGGGUAGUGGAAUUCCCGGUGUAGUGGUGAAAUGCGUAGAUAUCAGGAGGAAUACCGGUGGCGAAAGCGACUCUCUGGACGGCAACUGACGCUGAGGCACGAAAGCGUGGGGAGCAAACAGG